rnacentral:rRNA from 2 species
AGACCCGAAACCCGGUGAUCUAGCCAUGGGCAGGUUGAAGGUUGGGUAACACUAACUGGAGGACCGAACCGACUAAUGUUGAAAAAUUAGCGGAUGACCUGUGGCUGGGGGUGAAAGGCCAAUCAAACCGGGAGAUAGCUGGUUCUCCCCGAAAGCUAUUUAGGUAGCGCCUCGUGAAUUCAUCUCCGGGGGUAGAGCACUGUUUCGGCCAGGGGGCCAUCCCGGCUUACCAAUCCGAUGCAAACUGCGAAUACCGGAGAAUGUUAUCACGGGAGACACACGGCGGGUGCUAACGUCCGUCGUGAAGAGGGAAACAACCCAGACCGCCAGCUAAGGUCCCAAAGUCAUGGUUAAGUGGGAAACGAUGUGGGAAGGCCCAGACAGCCAGGAUGUUGGCUUAGAAGCAGCCAUCAUUUAAAGAAAGCGUAAUAGCUCACUGGUCGAGUCGGCCUGCGCGGAAGAUGUAACGGGGCUAAACCAUGCACCGAAGCUGCGGCAGCGAACGU